rfam:TPA: Bos taurus chromosome 18, whole genome shotgun sequence.
UCCCCUGUGGCUCAGACGGUAAAGCAUCUGCUUACAAUGCAGGAGACCCGGGAUCGAUCCCUGGGUCGGGAA